UACGUAGGGACCAAGCGUUGUUCGGAUUUACUGGGCGUAAAGGGCGCGUAGGCGGCAAUUCAAGUCAUCUGUGAAAUCUCCGGGCUUAACCCGGAACGGUCAGAUGAUACUGCUUUACUAGAGUGCGGAAGGGGCAAUCGGAAUUCUCGGUGUAGCGGUGAAAUGCGUAGAUAUCGAGAGGAACACCUGAGGUGAAGACGGGUUGCUGGGCCGACACUGACGCUGACAGCGCGAAAGCCAGGGGAGCAAACGGG
rnacentral:rRNA from 1 species